UACGUAGGGUCCGAGCGUUGUCCGGAUUUAUUGGGCGUAAAGAGCUCGUAGGCGGCUCAGUAAGUCAGAUGUGAAAACUCAGGGCUCAACCCGGAGACGCCAUCUGAUACUGCUGUGGCUUGAGUCUGGUAGGGGAUCACGGAAUUCCUGGUGUAGCGGUGAAAUGCGCAGAUAUCAGGAGGAACACCGGUGGCGAAGGCGGAUCUCUGGGCCAUUACUGACGCUGAGGAGCGAAAGCGUGGGGAGCGAACAGG
rnacentral:rRNA from 1 species